UGACUCAGUUGGUAAAGAACCUGCCUGCAAUGCAGGAGACCCGGGUUCAAUCCCUGG
rnacentral:tRNA from 1 species